UAUAGGUAGUGGCGAACGGGUGCGUAACACGUGAGUAACCUGCCCCAUAGUUUGGAAUAACACCGGGAAACCGAUGCUAAUACCAAAUAUGCUCGCACUAGCACAAGCUAGAGCAAGGAAAGAUUUAUCGCUUUGGGAGGGGCUCGCGGCCUAUCAGCUUGUUGGUGAGGUAACGGCUCACCAAGGCUUCGACGGGUAGCUGGUCUGAGAGGACGAUCAGCCACACUGGGACUGAGACACGGCCCAGACUCCUACGGGAGGCAGCAGUGGGGAAUAUUGCGCAAUGGGCGAAAGCCUGACGCAGCAACGCCGCGUGGAGGAUGAAGGCUCUAGGGUCGUAAACUCCUUUCAGCAGGAAAGAAAAUGACGGUACCUGCAGAAGAAGCUCCGGCCAACUACGUG
rnacentral:rRNA from 1 species